AUUGAACGCUGGCGGCAGGCUUAACACAUGCAAGUCGAGCGGGCGAGGUUGCUUCGGUAACUGAGCUAGCGGCGGACGGGUGAGUAAUGCUUAGGAAUCUGCCUAUUAGUGGGGGACAACAUUCCGAAAGGAAUGCUAAUACCGCAUACGCCCUACGGGGGAAAGCAGGGGAUUUUCGGACCUUGCGCUAAUAGAUGAGCCUAAGUCAGAUUAGCUAGUUGAUGGGGUAAAGGCCUACCAAGGCGACGAUCUGUAGCGGGUCUGAGAGGAUGAUCCGCCACACUGGGACUGAGACACGGCCCAGACUCCUACGGGAGGCAGCAGUGGGGAAUAUUGGACAAUGGGGGGAACCCUGAUCCAGCCAUGCCGCGUGUGUGAAGAAGGCCUUUUGGUUGUAAAGCACUUUAAGCGAGGAGGAGGCUCCUUUAGUUAAUACCUAAAGAGAGUGGACGUUACUCGCAGAAUAAGCACCGGCUAACUCUGUGCCAGCAGCCGCCGUAACAC
rnacentral:rRNA from 1 species